rnacentral:lncRNA from 1 species
CAGGUGGCACACAUACCGCCUUUACUCCAUAGAGAACUUCCAAUUGUGGGUCGGCACAGACGCAACCCAGUCUCCUCCCACCUCCGAGAGUGCAGUGUCCUGAAUGGAGAACCCCAGCACCCAGAAGCAUCCACUGAAGGACUAAAUUCUACACAUGAAGGCAAACGUCCGUGGUUGACAGAAAUUACACUGGCCAGAAUCCCCAGUCCCCAUGAGGCUUGUCCAGACGCAGUGAACCAGUCGCAGCUGAUAACACACAGACCAUUCCCGAUCCCAGAGGUGCAUUUCAGGAUUCAUUCUAUUUCAUCAGGUGACGUUUUAACAGAAACAAAACCGCAGGCAGCGGGUGGGGGGAGCUGGAGGUUGGAAUCACACCAACAUUAUAGCAUUAUUACUCUAAAAAAAAUUACUUUUUUGGCUGGGUGCUGUGGCUCACACCUAUAAUUGGGGGGCCAAGGCAGGUGGAUUACCUGAGGUCGGGAAUUCGAGACCAGCCUGACCAACAUGGAGAAACCCCG